AAUAUGCUUCUCCCGCAGUGGGACGAAAAGACCCUGUGCACCUUUACUAUAGCUUAGUAUUGACCUUGGAUAAAUGAUGUGUAGGAUAGGUUGGAGACUGUGAAGUGGCG
rnacentral:rRNA from 1 species